rnacentral:rRNA from 1 species
GGAUGUGACCUUGACUAUUUAUUCUAACGCAUCGAAUCUCAUUAGAACUUCAACGUUAAGCGUAUUUUGAUGAGAAUAUGUAAUACUAGUAUGGGUGAUCCUCUGGAAAAUCCUCAUGUUGUAUCUC